rnacentral:rRNA from 1 species
CAUAGCGACUAUCGUGGCAUAUCAAUAAGCGGAGGAAAAGAAACUAACAAGGAUUCCCCUUAGUAACGGCGAGUGAAGCGGGAAGAGCUCAAAUCUGAAAUCUUCAAGGGUUCUACCUUGACGAAUUGUAGUUUAAAGAAGUGUUUUCUGUUAGUGGAGUGGCAAAAGUUCUCUUGGAAUAGGACAUCAUAGAGGGUGAGAAUCCCGUAUUUGGUCAUUCCUCCUAGCGUUGUGAUACACUUUCAAAGAGUCGGAUUGUUUGGGAAUGCAGUCCAAAAUGGGUGGUAAAUUUCAUCUAAAGCUAAAUAUUGGCGAGAGACCGAUAGCGAACAAGUACCGUGAGGGAAAGAUGAAAAGAACUUUGAAAAGAGAGUUAAACAGUACGUGAAAUUGUCAAAAGGGAAGCGUUUGACACCAGUGUUGUUUUUUCCGAAAAUCAAUUAUAAAAUGUUUUGUUUCUGAGGAGUGAUGACUUCAUCGGCUUCCUUCUCUCUUCACGAAACUUUUGUAAUGCACUCUUCGGUUAACAAGUCAACAUCAAUUUCUUUUGUUGUAAAAGAGUAUUCGGAAGGUGGCUUUCUUUUCGGAGAAAGUGUUUAUAGCCUUGUACCUCUGCAAUCGGAGAGAUUGAGGUCUGCAGCGUAGAUCCUUCGGGGUUAGAUACAUUUGUGCUAAGUUAUAGCUUUUCAUAGACAACUUGUUGACUAUGUUAAGUCUUGUAGCUUACUCGCUUAUGCUAUUUUACCUACGCUUAGGAUGUUGAUAUGCAUGACUGAUAU